UACAGAGGUGGCAAGCGUUGUUCGGAAUUACUGGGCGUAAAGGGCGCGUAGGCGGCCAUCUAAGUCAGACGUGAAAUCCCCCGGCUCAACCUGGGAACUGCGUCUGAUACUGGACGGCUUGAGUUUGGGAGAGGGAUGUAGAAUUCCAGGUGUAGCGGUGAAAUGCGUAGAUAUCGGGAGGAACACCGGUGGCGAAGGCGGCGACCUGGGUGGAUACUGACGCUGAGGCGCGAAAGCGUGGGGAGCAAACAGG
rnacentral:rRNA from 1 species